UUCUAGUCCCCAAAGUACUAUCUGAAAAAAAAAGAAAUAGAUAAGUGGAUACUUAGAAUAUUUCUUCAUUAUAAAAUAAUUAAACUAAACUAUAGCAGUAAUAAAUGUAAAAUAAUUGUAAUGCUGUUUUGGUACCAGAUUCCUUAGUAAAAUGAUAAUCAAAUGAAGAAAAUACUGGAAGAAUAUGUAGAGAAAUUUGCUCCCUUCAUUCCUCUAAAAAAGGAUAGUUAUAUACACAUGACCUUAUUUGCAAAUGGAAGGCUAAAAAUGAUCCAACAAGAUUUGCCUGGGGUAUUCUCUAGGGAACUAGCCAAGAUAUUGGCAGCAAAAAGGGAGGAUCAGAAAAGUUCCUCAGUCAGGGCAUGUAGAAUAAUGAAUAUUCUUCUCUUGCUGUUCUGUUAUUGCUAAAAAUAAUAAGAGAACAAGCUCUCUUCAUGAAAGAGUGUACCUGUCUCCUUAUACAUUAGUAUAUAGCCUAUGUGGUAACAAGUCAGUCAGAGCAGGUAAAUAGUCUCUGGUGGUUGGAAACAUAAUCUAUAUGACCUUCCAGGUGAAAACAAAACUGGCAAUUUUCCACCAAAUAUUUAAAAUAGAUAAUAAUAAAUAAAAGAUUAUAGAACUUUAAAGUGAAUAAAAUCUGUAAAUUACAUGGCACUGAAUAAUGUAAUAUUACACAUGUGUGAAAAAAAUCUAUGAAUAUCAUUGUGCUAUUAAAAGAAACUGGUCCUCAAAUAAUAUUGAUAAAUGAAUGGAAAUGUAAAAAUUAUGUGUGUGUACAUACACACACAUAUAUAUGUAUUUAUAAACACAUACGCGUGAACACAUAUACAUACAUUGUGGUGUUUAGAGGUUUUUCUUUGCAGAGCAUUCAUUAUCCAUUUUGAAAUCAAUGUAUGUGUUAAGUAUAACAUAUGAAAGCCUGAAUUCAAAUUUCUUUUUGUACUCUGAUUACUU
rnacentral:lncRNA from 1 species